CCAGUUUAUGUAUCCAUAUCAAGCUUCUUACAAAGUGAUUCAUCCUGGUUCGAUUGGAACAACGAAGAAGUUGUCUUAUUCCCAAAUUGGAAAACUGGAAUCAACUGAUUUGAAAGUGGGAUAACUUCUUCUUCCCAGCUUCUAUGAGAUUUUUUUCAACUUCCUGGUCAUUCUCCACCACUUUAUGUAUCCAGAUCAAGCUUCUUAUAAAGUGAUUCAUCCUGGUUCGAUUGGAACGACGAAGAAGUUGUCAUAUUCCCUAACUGGGAAACUGGAAUCAACUGAUUUGAAAGUGGGAUAACUUCUUCUUCCCAGCUCCUAUGAGAUUUUUUUCAACUUCCUGGUCAUUCUCCACCACUUUAUGUAUCCAUAUCAAUCUUCUUACAAAGGGAUUCAUCCUAGUUCGAUUGGAACGACGAAGAAGUUGUCUUAUUCCCAAACUGGGAAACUAGAAUCAACUGAUUUGAAAGUGGGAUAACUUCUUCUUCCCAACUCCUAUGAGAUUUAUUUAACUUCCUGGUCAUUCUCCACCACUUUAUGUAACCAUAUCAGGCUUCUUACAAAGUGGUUCAUCCUAGUUCGAUUGGAACGAUGAAGAAGUUGUCUUAUUCCCAAACUGGGAAACUAGAAUCACCUGAUUUGUAAAAAGGGAUAACUUCUUCUUCCCUACUCCAAUGAGAUUUAUUCAACUUCCAGGUGAUUCUCCACCACUUUAUGUAUCCAAAUCAAGCUUCUUACAAAGUGAUUCAUCCUGGUUCGAUUUGAACAACGAAGAAGUUGUCUUAUUCUCAAACUGGGAAACUGGAAUCAACUGAUUUGAAAGUGGGAUAACUUCUUCUUCCCAGCUCCUAUGAGAUUUUUUUCAACUUUCUGGUCAUUCUCCACCACUUUAUGUAUCCAUAUCAAGCUUCUUACAAAGUGAUUCAUCCUGGUUCGAUUGGAACGACGAAGAAGUUGUCUUUUUCCCAAACUGGGAAACCGGAAUCAACUGAUUUGAAAGUGGGAUAACUCCUUUUUCCCAACUCCUAUGAGAUUUUUUUUCAACUUCCUGGUCAUUAUACACCACUUUAGGUAUCAAUAUCAAGCUUCUUACAAAGUGAUUCAUCCUAGUUCGAUUGGAACGACGAAGAAGUUGUCUUAUUCCCAAAUUGGGAAACUGGAAUCAACUAAUUUGAAUGUGGGAUAACUUCUUCUUCUCAGCUCCUAUGAAAUAUUUUUCAACUUCCUGGUCAUUCUGCACCACUUUAGGUAUCCAUAUCAAGCUUCUUACAAAGAGAUUCAUCCUAGUUCGAUUGGAACGAUGAAGAAGUUGUCUUACUCCCAAACUGGGAAAGUAGAAUCACCUGAUUUGUAAAAAGGGAUANNNNNNNNNNNNNNNNNNNNNNNNNNNNNNNNNNNNNNNNNNNNNNNNNNNNNNNNNNNNNNNNNNNNNNNNNNNNNNNNNNNNNNACUGAUUUGAAUGUGGGAUAACUUCUUCUUCUCAGCUCCUAUGAGAUUUUUUUCAACUUCCUGGUCAUUCUACACCAGUUUAUGUAUCCAUAUCAAGCUUCUAAAAAAGUGAUUCAUCCUGGUUCGAUUGGAACGACGAAGAAGUUGUCUUAUUCCCAAAUUGGAAAAGUGGAAUCAACUGAUUUGAAAGUGUGAUAACUUCUUCUUCCCAGCUCCUAUGAGAUUUUUUUCACCUUCCUGGUCAUUCUACACCAGUUUAUGUAUCCAUAUCAAGCUUCUAAAAAAGUGAUUCAUCCUGGUUCGAUUGGAACGACGAAGAAGUUGUCUUAUUCCUAACUAGGAAACUGGAAUCAACUAAUUUGAAUGUGGGAUAACUUCUUCUUCCCAGCUCCUAUGAGAUUUUUUUCAACUUCCUGGUCAUUCUCCUCCACUUUAUGUAUCCAUAUCAAGCUUCUUACAAAGUGAUUCAUCCUAGUUCGAUUGGAACGACGAAGAAGUUGUCUUAUUCCCAAACUGGGAAUUUGGAAUCAACUGAUUUGAAAGUGGGAUAACUUCUUCUUCCCAACUCCUAUGAGAUUUAUUCAACUUCCUGGUCAUUCUCCACCACUUUAUGUAUCCAUAUCAAGCUUCUUACAAAGUGAUUCAUCCUGGUUCGAUUGGAACGACGAAGAAGUUGUCUUAUUCCCAAGCUGGAAAACUGGAAUCAACUGAUUUGAAAGUGGAAUAACUUCUUCUUCCCUACUCCUAUGAGAUUUAUUCAACUUCCUGGUCAUUCUCCACCAC
rnacentral:lncRNA from 1 species